rnacentral:misc_RNA from 1 species
AGAGUAUCAUGAUAGUGAUUUCACUUUAAGUUUUUUGAUUUAACAUAGAUUUAAAGUAAGAGUUGUCAUGGCUUUGACUGCUGCGCAACUUUUGGAUGAACUUAUGGGUAAAGAUAGGAACUUGGUACCUGGAGAAAAAAGUUCACAAGUUCAUUGGUCACAUCCAGAUUGUUGUAAGUUCUUCCUCUGUGGAUUUUGUCCAUCAGAUUUGUUUACUAAUACAAAAGCUGAUCUAGGUCCUUGUUCUAAAGUACAUGAUGAACAACUUAAAGUAGAAUAUGAAAACUCUGAUGAGUAUGGUGAACUCGGGUAUGAAAAAGACUUCAUUCAUUUUCUAAGUAAUAUCCAGGCUGAUGUUGAACGCAAAAUUAGAAGAGGCCAUGAAAGACUUCUUAUGAAUAAAGCUAGAGAACAGGAACUUGCUGUAAAUGACAGUGAUAAAGUGAAGAUGCUGACUGAGCACAUUAAUCAAAUGCUGCAAGAGGUUGAACAACUUGGAUCUGAAGGAAAAGUUGAUGAAGCUCAAGGUGUUGCUAAAAUAGUAGAACAGUUAAAAGAAGAGCGUGAACAGCAUAAGCAAAACCCGAUUGCAGGUCAAGAAAAACAAAUGGAAGUUUGUGAGGUAUGUGGUGCAUUUUUGAUUGUUGGUGAUGCUCAAUCGCGCGUUGAUGAUCAUUUGCAAGGAAAACAACACAUGGGAUAUGCUAGAAUUAAGUCCACUUUAGAAGAUAUGAAGGAAAAACCAUGGUUGAAAAAAAAAAAAGAGAGAGAUCUUGCUAGAAAAGAUAGAGUUGAAGAUAAUAAAAGCAAAAAAGAUCGUCCUCGAAGUGUUGAAAAAGAAAGGUCACAAAAAGAGCGUACUCGAGAACGUUCGCGAGAGCGUUCGCGUGAAAAACGUCGUAGAAGCUCGUCAAGAAGCCGCGAUAGAAGAAGUAAAGAUCGUGAAAGGAGAAGAAGUCGAGAAAGAAGUGGACAUCGUGAGAGAAGCGAUCGCGAAAGAAGCGACCGUGACAGAAGCGAUCGCGACAGAAACGAUCGUGACAGAGGCGAUCGUGACAGAAGUGAUCGCGACAGAAGCGAUCGCGACAGAAGCGAUCGCGACAAAAGCGAUCGCGAUAGAAGCGAUCGCGACAGAAGCGAUCGCGACAGAAGAGAUCGCGAUAGAAGAGAUCGCGAUAGAAGUCGUGAUCGAGAGCGAAGUCGUGAUCGUGACUCAAAACGAAGAAGUCACAGAAGUAGAAGUCGCGACCGCGAUUCGAAGCGUAGAGAUCGGCGUAGAAGUCAAAGUUUAGGAAAAAAUAGUCACCGCAGUCGUAGUCGCGAACGAGAACGUGAUAAAAAAUAUCGUAAAAAUAGCAAAGAUCGAAGGUCGUCUAAUGAUAUAGAUGAUGAAAAGCCUAGAGACAAUAAAACCAUUCCAACAGAUGUUAAUGGUAAUACUUCAGACGGUAGUAACGCUAGUGAAAAAGCUAAUGGUCUAAGUAUGAUAGAUAAAGAAAAUAUUUCAGAUUUUAAAAAAAAUGAUAUAGACACGGAUUCAAAUAGUGAGAUGCAGUUAGAGGAACAAAAUAAAAAUUUAUUUCUUACUACAUUUUCGCAAGAUAUGAAGCCCGUUCAAACAAGUCUUAAUGAAACGGAAGUAAUGAGAACAUCCUCAGGUAGUGGUAAUGAUAGCCCUUUAGAUUUAGCUCACUAUGAAGAAGAGACCAUGUACAGUUAAUGCUAAACUUGGAAAAUAUUAAGCGAGUAUGUCAGAGAAACUCUUUGCAAAUCUUUUUUAAAACUAUUAAAGAGUUCUUGAAUCGAAAACUUAUUUUGCUAUUUGCUUGAUAUGUUUCUCUGAAAUGCUUUUCAUUCUACUGAGAAGACUGGAACCUUGUGAAGAUCUCAAAGGCAGCGCUUAAGAAAUGCUGAGGUUAAAAGAGGUAACCAACUCAAUUAUAAAGGUACUCAAUAUCAUGUAUCACUUUUGAAGUGUUUUAAGUUCAUUUUCUUUUACAAACUUUUAUUUUUAAAAUUCCAUGCUUCUUUUUUUUUCGCUUCUUUUUGUGAUCUUUCUUAAUAUCUUGAAAACUUCAAAACGUUUUUUUAUUAUCGAUGUCACCGAUUUUUUUUUUUUUUUUUUCUUUUGUUUCGAUAAAUUAAUUUUUAUGAACAUUUGUGUUGUAAUUGAUUGUAAUUAUGGACGUCAUUAUAAGUAAUAUUAUUGCAAA